rnacentral:lncRNA from 13 species
GAACGUAUGGGGAUGAAGAUGAAUUUUAUAAGCCCUUCCCAUUCUUCCCUGGGAAACAGGAAGAGACUUUGUUCUGUACGACCCUGCUGUGCAUCUUCAAUGCCCCCAAUGCCAGGAAACGUCUUACUGAAAGAGGCGGCCACGAGUCAGUGAGGAAAUGUGUCCGGUCACCAGGGACCUCCUAGCUCCAUACCCGUCAGCCCUGUCUGCUCCUUCCCCCACCUAUUAGCAACAUCUCACACUGUUGAUUCCCCAUAGCUUCCAGAAGAAUCUUCCUCACUGAAUAGAGGCCAAAGUCCUUAGGUACUCAAGGCCUUCUGGGACUGGGCCAAAGCCUGCCUUUCUUACUGCAUCCCUCCCCAUGUCCCUUCAGUUCGCAUAUGUUCCUAUCAAAUGUGCCAUUUGCUUUUCUUUAUAAAUAGCCAUGACUUCCCGACACCUGCCUUUGCUCAUGUUCCAUUCUGUCUCCAUGCCUGGCUCCUUCCCUAACUCCCUCCCAGUCCACCCAUGUGGAGCCUCUCUCCUAGGCUUCUGCCAGGACUCCAUUUUUCUCUCUCUCUGAGGUAUAUCUUGCUGUCCUGACUUGCCUUCUCUACUGGGCUGUGAGUUUUCUGGACGGCAGGGACUUUUUAUUCUCUCCUCACCGUGUCUUGCAUGUCGUAGGCUCUCAAUAGACACAUGUGCCAUAGUUUAGAACAUGAGUGAGGCCUAACCGACCAGACGUCAGAUACUAAUGGGACUCAGACUUCAACUCGAUUUUGUCUGCUACAUGCAUGUUGGUGUGUGGACGUCUGAGCUUCUCCAUUAUGUUCACUGAGAAUUGCUGAACAUCUUCUUCCUUGGACUGUCGUCAUGAGACUGAGAUCAGCAGGAAGAAGACACGAAAGAAAAAUGGCAUGGACCUUCAUGUCCUUCAGAGUGACGGUGGGCUUGGGCCUUGCAAUGAGAACAAGUAUCACCCAGGAUGGAGAUCGGCCAGGGGCGGGGGUCAUGGGUGGGCUACAGGUACCUCCUACCACUGACAACAAGGAGGCAGAAUUUCCUUGGUCUAGACUAGAGUCUGGGUCAUGGGCAUGGCCGUGCUUGAGCUUCUGACCAGAAGCAGGUGGACAUGGAUUUGAGCUUCGUGUAAGAAUGGAGACUCCCCUCCAGGGACCAUAGGGGCUGGCAGCUGAAGAAGGUGACCUGGCCCCCGUCUAGAAGGUGAACACAGGGUAAACCCAAGCCCAUGAAGUGGAUGCAGCUGGGAAAAUCUGCCUGGUGCUUUCAAACCUCAACAUCAAACACUGCUCACACCUCAAACACUGCUCACACCAUGGUAAAAUCUAGUUGCAAAAUCUGUCCUGCAGCAGUUUUCUUUCCAGACGCUCAGGCCUCUCCUGGCAGCAGGCAGCUCUCCCCACCCACCCCCUCCACUCGUGCCCCUCCUACAGCCCAAGGCAACUCCCAGCAACCUUUGUGAACCAAGCCCAUCUUGCCGCCCAGGCUCCGGAGCUGUUUGCAUGUUGUGCAGAUGCAGCCUUCAGCCUUGGAUACCCACCCACUCCUCUGCUUGGGAGUUGUUUUCACAGGCUGCUCUUCCUGUAGCUUCAGAGAAGUAGGUCAAGUAGGUUAAAUUGCUUUGAAGGAGAAGUGCCAGGGGUUCAAGUCAUCCAGCCUGGAGGCAGGAAUCCUGGGUUCUAUUUCUGGCUUCACAGCUAAUCAGCUGUGUGACAGGCGUUAGGGGCUCAUUCUCCCAUCUGGGUCUCCCUGGGUCCUUCUCUAGGUCCCACAAUUUUUUUAUUUUCUUGAAGCUAUAUUCCCUGGGACUGUCUUCUUCCUCCCUCUUCCCUCCCUCUGGGAGGUGCUUUAAAGAUGUUGGCUGCUCAAGGCUGGCAUCCUGGGCAAGAGGGGCUGCAGUUGUUGUAGCCGAUGAGGACUACAACAACUGCAGCUUUUGUGUAGACACGGUAGAGCUUAUGGGGCCAUGUGAGGCUGGAGUGUCAGGAAGUCAGACUCCUGUAACUACAGGACAGGCCCUGGUGAUGUGAUGACGGGGAUGCUGAAGCCCAGAAUUUGAGUUC